rnacentral:rRNA from 1 species
UACGGAGGGCGCGAGCGUUAAUCGGAAUUACUGGGCGUAAAGCGCGCGUAGGCUGUUGUGUAAGUUGGGGGUGAAAUCCCACGGCUCAACCGUGGAACAGCCCUUGAUACUGCGCGACUUGAAUCCGGGAGAGGGUGGCGGAAUUCCAGGUGUAGGAGUGAAAUCCGUAGAUAUCUGGAGGAACAUCAGUGGCGAAGGCGGCCGCCUGGCCUGUUGCUGACGCUGAGGCACGAAAGCGUGGGGAGCAAAUAGG